rnacentral:rRNA from 1 species
CCUACGGGUGGCAGCAGUAGGGAAUAUUGCUCAAUGGCGGAAACCCUGAAGCAGCAACGCCGCGUGGAGGAUGAAGGCUCUCGGAUUGUAAACUCUUUUUGUUAGAGAAGAUAAUGACGGUAUCUAACGAAUAAGCACCGGCUAACUCGGUGCCAGCAGCCGCGGUAACACGGAGGGUGCAAGCGUUACUCGGAAUCACUGGGCGUAAAGGGCGGGUAGGCGGGAUAGCAAGUCCGAUGGGAAAUCCUAUGGGUUAACCCUAGAACUGCAGUUGAAACUGUUAUUCUAGAGUGUGCGAGGGGUAGGUGGAAUGCUUGGUGUAGGGGUAAAAUGCGUAGAGAUCAAGAAGAAUACUCAUUGCGAAGGCAACCUGCUAGAACAUAACUGACGCUGAUGCGCGAAAGCGUGGGGAGCGAACAGGAUUAGAUACCCCAGUAGUC